rnacentral:rRNA from 1 species
GGGUACACUGUGGGGACCGCGCUGCUAAAGCGGAGGAAGGAAUGGGCAACGGUAGGUCAGUAUGCCCCGAAUAUCCCGGGCUACACGCGAGCUACAAUGGUUGGUACAAUGGGUAUCUACCCCGAAAGGGGACGGAAAUCUCCUAAAACCAAUCUUAGUUCGGAUUGAGGGCUGCAACUCGCCCUCAUGAAGCUGGAAUCCGUAGUAAUCGCGUUUCAACAGAACGCGGUGAAUACGUCCCUGCUCCUU